GCCAAGUGGAUCAAGGCAGUG
rnacentral:tRNA from 1 species